GUACAGCAAGCCAACAGGUACACAAUUUCUUUUCACAUUUCUAACAAGCCCUCCUCUCUUCAUUCCGGAUUACACAAACAUCAAAGCAAACAGUCCUUCGUAAGCAAUAAAGAACUACUGCACUAUACUUCACCUUCUUUUAUUUUUUACAUUCUCUUAUAGUAGAAAUGUGGCGCGAGCCCUACGCUAUAACCUCCCUCUACGAAGCUUUGGGAACAUGUUUUCAGUCCUGAUUGGGCAGCGAGCACUGUCACUCUUGAUCAACCCUACACAGCCAAUACACAGGCUGAAAGCGAUGAAGACUGAAACAGGAGGUUAGGUUGUUACUGUAUUUGCUGAGUGUAGAAGACUGGAGUUUGGGAUUUUAUAGUGUUUUUGUAACAGAAAAAAAGAAAUUUGCGUGGUAUUUCUUGUUCAAAGCAACACUGUCUGUAGAAGUUGGAAAUACUUGUUCUAAGGCCACCCCACCCCACCGUGGUAUAGACUAUCACUUCUGCACUUUAUUGUAAACUGAAAUCCGCACAGAUAACGGGACAGUCAGUAAUAAGCGGCUUAUCUGUCAGUAGUUCUGCAGCACAGAAAGUAAAAAGGGAGAAUCACCUUGUCACAGCACAGCUUCUAAGUGGUGAACUGAAUUCCAGGAUUUUGAAUGUUGUUGCAGAAUUAAGUCUUCUAAAAAGGUUUGUUCUUCAGGGACUCUGAAAUUAAACGUGGGCAUCACUGCUAAG